GUGAACCUGCGGAAGGAUCAUUAACGAAUAACACUUGAUGGGUUGUUGCUGGUCUCUAGGGACAUGUGCACGCCUGUCUUUGUUCUAUUCAUCCACCUGUGCACUAUUUGUAGUCUUUCAGGGACUGAAUACGGUUGUCACUCAGUCGCAAGAUUGGAAGAGGGGAUUGCAUUGUACGCGAGUGCGUGCUCUCCUCAGUUUAACACAUCGUAAUCUUCCUAUGAAGUCUAUGUCUUUCAUAUAAACCAUGUAGAAUGUCGCAGAAUGUAUUGAUUAGGCCCUCGUGCCUAUAAAACUAUAUACAACUUUCAGCAACGGAUCUCUUGGCUCUCGCAUCGAUGAAGAACGCAGCGAAAUGCGAUAAGUAAUGUGAAUUGCAGAAUUCAGUGAAUCAUCGAAUCUUUGAACGCACCUUGCGCUCCUUGGUAUUCCGAGAAGCAUGCCUGUUUGAGUGUCAGUUAAUUCUCAACCUCCUCUGGCUUUGAUAGCUGGCUUGUGGGGCUUGGAUAUGGAGGCUUUUGCUGGUCCCUUCGGGGUAUCAGCUCCUCUGAAAUGCAUUAGCAGAACCGUUUGCGAUCUGUCACUGGUGUGAUAAUUAUCUACGCCAAUGGAUUGCUCUCAGUCAGUUCCGCUUCUAAUAGUCCCCCUUGAAGGGACAACUUUCUGAACUCUUGACCUCAAAUCAGGUAGGACUACCCG
rnacentral:rRNA from 1 species